UAGGGAAUCUUCCGCAAUGGACGCAAGUCUGACGGAGCAACGCCGCGUGAGUGAAGAAGGAUUUCGGUUCGUAAAACUCUGUUGUUAGAGAAGAACAGCGCAUAGAGUAACUGUUAUGCGUGUGACGGUAUCUAACCAGAAAGCCACGGCUAACUACGUGCCAGCAGCCGCGGUAAUACGUAGGUGGCAAGCGUUGUCCGGAUUUAUUGGGCGUAAAGCGAGCGCAGGCGGUCAAUUAAGUCUGAUGUGAAAGCCCCCGGCUCAACCGGGGAGGGUCAUUGGAAACUGGUUGACUUGAGUGCAGAAGGGGAGAGUGGAAUUCCAUGUGUAGCGGUGAAAUGCGUAGAUAUAUGGAGGAACACCAGUGGCGAAAGCGGCUCUCUGGUCUGUAACUGACGCUGAGGCUCGAAAGCGUGGGGAGCGAACAGG
rnacentral:rRNA from 1 species